UACGUAGGGGGCUAGCGUUGUCCGGAAUCAUUGGGCGUAAAGCGCGUGUAGGCGGCUCGGUAAGUCCGCUGUGAAAGUCGGGGGCUCAACCCUCGGAUGCCGGUGGAUACUGUCGGGCUAGAGUACGGAAGAGGCGAGUGGAAUUCCUGGUGUAGCGGUGAAAUGCGCAGAUAUCAGGAGGAACACCUGUGGCGAAAGCGGCUUCCUGGUCCAGCACCGACGUUCAGGCACGAAAGCGUGGGGAGCAAACAGG
rnacentral:rRNA from 1 species